rnacentral:lncRNA from 10 species
AGCAUGAAGUUCUUUCCCACUGGCAGAGCAGGCUCUGUGCUAGAGCUCAUGCAUAGAGAGCAGAACACAUUCUUCCCUUCUGCAUACUGCUGUUGGCACAGUCAUUGUUGCUACUGCUGAAAGCUGAGGAAGGCAGAUGACAGCUUUCAAUCCCUGAUGGGCGAGAGAAGAGGGGAGGCCUUCUUCCACUGUGGGUUGCUUCCAAACAUGGAGAUUGGGUUAUUGAUGCAACCAGUAAGUAAUAUAGCAAAUAGUUGUGUUGCCACUUCCCAGAAUCAAGUAUUUUAAACAUGGCAAACAUUUUGUCCAAAUUGUUUUGUCUUUAAAAAAAAAAUAAAAUCUAGAAAUAUAUUAAAAGUUAAUUAAAAAAUUAAUUUUACUUCCCUUUGACGGCAUCCCCAUUCAGGUUUACCUGACAAUUGACAAUGCAUUCUGUGCAUUUAAUGCAUAUCUUUAAAAGACAUACAUACAUAAAAGACAAAACAAAACACUCUGUGUGUGUAUAAACCCACUGUGAGUUAUGUAUAUGUUUGUGUGUCUGUGUGUAUAUCAUGUAUUUAUAAAUAUUAUAUAAUUCUGCAUUG